UAAACUGGUCAUUUGAGUCAAUAAGACCCAUUUCAAGCUUAUCAUUCUAAAAAUAAAAAUAGUUAUUUCAUAAUAUUUAGGCAAAACAGCUGGCUUACUGAUUAAUUCUGCUUUGUAGUAUAGAGAGACAGAACAGGUGGUAAUAUACCUGGGUUGAAGAGAGACAGAACAGGUGGUAAUAUACCUGGGUUGAAGAGAGAGAGACAGAACAGGUGGUAAUAUACCUGGGUUGAAGAGAGAGAGACAGAACAGGUGGUAGUAUACCUGGGUUGAAGAGAGACAGAACAGGUGGUAAUAUACCUGGGUUGAGAGAGAGAGAGUUUUAUUCUUAUCAUAAUUAUACAUGGGUACAUAAAUCGACAAUGAGA
ensembl:lncRNA